rnacentral:rRNA from 1 species
GAGAGGUAACGGCUCACCAAGGCAUCGACGGGUAGCUGGUCUGAGAGGAUGAUCAGCCACACUGGAACUGAGACACGGUCCAGACUCCUACGGGAGGCAGCAGUGGGGAAUCUUGCACAAUGGGCGCAAGCCUGAUGCAGCGAUGCCGCGUGCGGGAAGAAGGCCCUAGGGUUGUAAACCGCUUUCAGGAGGGAAGAAAAUGACGGUACCUCCAGAAGAAGCCCCGGCCAACUACGUGCCAGCAGCCGCGGUAAGACGUAGGGGGCGAGCGUUGUCCGGAUUUAUUGGGCGUAAAGGGCUCGUAGGUGGUUGCGUAAGUCGGAUGUGAAAACUCAAGGCUCAACCUUGAGACGCCAUCCGAUACUGCGGUGACUUGAGUUCGGUAGAGGAGUGUGGAAUUCCUGGUGUAGCGGUGAAAUGCGCAGAUAUCAGGAGGAACACCAACAGCGAAGGCAGCACUCUGGGCCGAUACUGACACUGAGGAGCGAAAGCAUGGGGAGCAAACAGGAUUAGAUACCCUGGUAGUCCAUGCCGUAAACGUUGGGCACUAGGUGUGGGGAUCUAUCAACGAUCUCCGCGCCGUCGCUAACGCAUUAAGUG